rnacentral:tRNA from 1 species
UGCUCCAUAGCUCAGUUGGUAGAGCGCCUGACUGUUAAUCAGGUUGUCACAGGUUCGAGCCCUGUUGGAACAGCCA